rnacentral:rRNA from 1 species
CCUACGGGAGGCAGCAGUAGGGAAUCUUCCACAAUGGGCGAAAGCCUGAUGGAGCAACGCCGCGUGGGUGAAGAAGGUCUUCGGAUCGUAAAACCCUGUUGUUAGAGAAGAAAGUGCGUGAGAGUAACUGUUCACGUUUCGACGGUAUCUAACCAGAAAGCCACGGCUAACUACGUGCCAGCAGCAGCGGUAAUACGUAGGUGGCAAGCGUUAUCCGGAUUGAUUGGGCGUAAAGGGAACGCAGGCGGUCUUUUACGUCUGAUGUGAAAGCCUUCGGCUUAACCGGAGUAGUGCAUUGGAAACAGGGAGCCUUGAGUGCAGAAGAGGAGAGUGGAACGCCAUUUGUAGCGGUGAAAUUCGUAGAUAUAUGGAAGAACACCAGUGGCGAAAGCGGCUCUCUGGUCUGUAACUGACGCUGAGGUUCGAAAGCGUGGGUAGCAAACAGGAUUAGAUACCCCAGUAGUC